UACGGGGGGGGCAAGCGUUGUUCGGAAUUACUGGGCGUAAAGGGCUCGUAGGUGGCCAACUAAGUCAGACGUGAAAUCCCUCGGCUUAACCGGGGAACUGCGUCUGAUACUGGAUGGCUUGAGAUUGGGAGAGGGAUGCGGAAUUCCAGGUGUAGCGGUGAAAUGCGUAGAUAUCUGGAGGAACACCGGUGGCGAAGGCGGAUCUCUGGGCCUUACCUGACGCUCAGGCGCGAAAGCUAGGGGAGCGAACAGG
rnacentral:rRNA from 1 species